CCUACGGGUGGCAGCAGUGAGGAAUAUUGGUCAAUGGACGAGAGUCUGAACCAGCCAAGUAGCGUGAAGGAUGACUGCCCUAUGGGUUGUAAACUUCUUUUAUAUGGGAAUAAAAUGUUCCACGUGUGGGAUUUUGUAUGUACCAUAUGAAUAAGGAUCGGCUAACUCCGUGCCAGCAGCCGCGGUAAUACGGAGGAUCCGAGCGUUAUCCGGAUUUAUUGGGUUUAAAGGGAGCGUAGGUGGAUUGUUAAGUCAGUUGUGAAAGUUUGCGGCUCAACCGUAAAAUUGCAGUUGAAACUGGCAGUCUUGAGUACAGUAGAGGUGGGCGGAAUUCGUGGUGUAGCGGUGAAAUGCUUAGAUAUCACGAAGAACACCGAUGGCGAAGGCAGUUCACUGGACUGCAACUGACACUGAGGCUCGAAAGUGUGGGUAUCAAACAGGAUUAGAUACCCUGGUAGUC
rnacentral:rRNA from 1 species